rnacentral:rRNA from 1 species
AUUGAACGCUGGCGGCAGGCCUAACACAUGCAAGUCGAGCGGUAGAGAGGUGCUUGCAUCUCUUGAGAGCGGCGGACGGGUGAGUAAUGCCUAGGAAUCUGCCUAGUGGUGGGGGAUAACGGUUCGGAAACGGACGCUAAUACCGCAUACGUCCUACGGGAGAAAGCGGGGGGAUCUUCGGACCUCGCGCCAUUAGAUGAGCCUAGGUCGGAUUAGCUAGUUGGUGAGGUAAUGGCUCACCAAGGCGACGAUCCGUAACUGGUCUGAGAGGAUGAUCAGUCACACUGGAACUGAGACACGGUCCAGACUCCUACGGGAGGCAGCAGUGGGGAAUAUUGGACAAUGGGCGAAAGCCUGAUCCAGCCAUGCCGCGUGUGUGAAGAAGGUCUUCGGAUUGUAAAGCACUUUAAGUUGGGAGGAAGGGUAGUAACCUAAUACGUUGCUACUUUGACGUUACCGACAGAAUAAGCACCGGCUAACUUCGUGCCAGCACG